GUUGUCCGACUCUGUUGCCUCCGGGGCGACCCUGCCUUCGGGCGGGGGCUCCGGGUGGACACUUCAAACUCUUGCGUAACUUUGCAGUCUGAGUAAACUUAAUUAAUAAAUUAAAACUUUUAACAACGGAUCUCUUGGUUCUGGCAUCGAUGAAGAACGCAGCGAAAUGCGAUAAGUAAUGUGAAUUGCAGAAUUCAGUGAAUCAUCGAAUCUUUGAACGCACAUUGCGCCCCCUGGUAUUCCGGGGGGCAUGCCUGUUCGAGCGUCAUUUCACCACUCAAGCCUCGCUUGGUAUUGGGCAACGCGGUCCGCCGCGUGCCUCAAAUCGACCGGCUGGGUCUUCUGUCCCCUAAGCGUUGUGGAAACUAUUCGCUAAAGGGUGUUCGGGAGGCUACGCCGUAAAACAACCCCAUUUCUAAGGUUGACCUCGGAUCAGGUAGGGAUACCCGCUGAACUUAAGCAUAUA
rnacentral:rRNA from 1 species